rnacentral:rRNA from 1 species
AAAGGAAGAUUAAUCCAGGAUGGGAUCAUGAGUUCACAUGUCCGCAUGAUUAAAGGUAUUUUCCGGUAGACGAUGGGGAUGCGUUCCAUUAGAUAGUAGGCGGGGCAACGGCCCACCUAGUCAACGAUGGAUAGGGGUUCUGAGAGGAAGGUCCCCCACAUUGGAACUGAGACACGGUCCAAACUCCUACGGGAGGCAGCAGUGAGGAAUAUUGGUCAAUGGGCGAUGGCCUGAACCAGCCAAGUAGCGUGAAGGAUGACUGCCCUAUGGGUUGUAAACUUCUUUUAUAAAGGAAUAAAGUCGGGUAUGCAUACCCGUUUGCAUGUACUUUAUGAAUAAGGAUCGGCUAACUCCGUGCCAGCAGCCGCGGUAAUACGGAGGAUCCGAGCGUUAUCCGGAUUUAUUGGGUUUAAAGGGAGCGUAGAUGGAUGUUUAAGUCAGUUGUGAAAGUUUGCGGCUCAACCGUAAAAUUGCAGUUGAUACUGGAUGUCUUGAGUGCAGUUGAGGCAGGCGGAAUUCGUGGUGUAGCGGUGAAAUGCUUAGAUAUCACGAAGAACUCCGAUUGCGAAGGCAGCCU